CUGCGGCAGCGACACUCAGGUGUUGUUGGGUAGGGGAGCGUUCUGUAAGCCUGCGAAGGUGGCCUGUGAGGGUUGCUGGAGGUAUCAGAAGUGCGAAUGCUGACAUAAGUAACGAUAAAGCGGGUGAAAAGCCCGCUCGCCGGAAGACCAAGGGUUCCUGUCCAACGUUAAUCGGGGCAGGGUGAGUCGACCCCUAAGGCGAGGCCGAAAGGCGUAGUCGAUGGGAAACGGGUUAAUAUUCCCGUACUUGGUGUUACUGCGAAGGGGGGACGGAGAAGGCUAUGUUGGCCGGGCGACGGUUGUCCCGGUUUAAGCGUGUAGGUGUGUGUUCCAGGUAAAUCCGGUUCACUUUAACACUGAGGCGUGAUGACGAGGCACUACGGUGCUGAAGCAACAAAUGCCCUGCUUCCAGGAAAAGCCUCUAAGCAUCAGGUAACAUCAAAUCGUACCCCAAACCGACACAGGUGGUCAGGUAGAGAAUACCAAGGCGCUUGAGAGAACUCGGGUGAAGGAACUAGGCAAAAUGGUGCCGUAACUUCGGGAGAAGGCACGCUGACACGUAGGUGAAGUGAUUUACUCAUGGAGCUGAAGUCAGUCGAAGAUACCAGCUGGCUGCAACUGUUUAUUAAAAACACAGCACUGUGCAAACACGAAAGUGGACGUAUACGGUGUGACGCCUGCCCGGUGCCGGAAGGUUAAUUGAUGGGGUCAGCGCAAGCGAAGCUCCUGAUCGAAGCCCCGGUAAACGGCGGCCGUAACUAUAACGGUCCUAAGGUAGCGAAAUUCCUUGUCGGGUAAGUUCCGACCUGCACGAAUGGCGUAAUGAUGGCCAGGCUGUCUCCACCCGAGACUCAGUGAAAUUGAACUCGCUGUGAAGAUGCAGUGUACCCGCGGCAAGACGGAAAGACCCCGUGAACCUUUACUAUAGCUUGACACUGAACAUUGAGCCUUGAUGUGUAGGAUAGGUGGGAGGCUUUGAAGCGUGGACGCCAGUCUGCGUGGAGCCGACCUUGAAAUACCACCCUUUAAUGUUUGAUGUUCUAACGUGGACCCGUGAUCCGGGUUGCGGACAGUGUCUGGUGGGUAGUUUGACUGGGGCGGUCUCCUCCUAAAGAGUAACGGAGGAGCACGAAGGUUGGCUAAUCCUGGUCGGACAUCAGGAGGUUAGUGCAAUGGCAUAAGCCAGCUUGACUGCGAGCGUGACGGCGCGAGCAGGUGCGAAAGCAGGUCAUAGUGAUCCGGUGGUUCUGAAUGGAAGGGCCAUCGCUCAACGGAUAAAAGGUACUCCGGGGAUAACAGGCUGAUACCGCCCAAGAGUUCAUAUCGACGGCGGUGUUUGGCACCUCGAUGUCGGCUCAUCACAUCCUGGGGCUGAAGUAGGUCCCAAGGGUAUGGCUGUUCGCCAUUUAAAGUGGUACGCGAGCUGGGUUUAGAACGUCGUGAGACAGUUCGGUCCCUAUCUGCCGUGGGCGCUGGAGAACUGAGGGGGGCUGCUCCUAGUACGAGAGGACCGGAGUGGACGCAUCACUGGUGUUCGGGUUGUCAUGCCAAUGGCACUGCCCGGUAGCUAAAUGCGGAAGAGAUAAGUGCUGAAAGCAUCUAAGCACGAAACUUGCCCCGAG
rnacentral:rRNA from 1 species